GUGGUAGCUCAGUGGCAGAGCAUUUGCCUUGCAUGCAGAAGGCCCCGGGUUCAAUCCCCAGCAUUUACU